UUUUCUGAUGAUUUAUUCUACUCACGACGGUCAACCGAACUUCAUUGACGAGAAUGCCUAUGACAGGGCUUUGAUCUGAAC
rnacentral:snoRNA from 1 species